CGGAACUCAACAAUGGUGCACAGAUCCAAUUGAGACACCUUAUCCUCUACAAUGAUACUCUCAUCAUUGCCAAGCCCAAGUCCACCAACAGCCUGAAACUUAAGAAGCAGGUACGUCUGAGUGAGGUGUGGGUUGCCUCCUGCCUAGACGAAGUGACAGU
rnacentral:lncRNA from 1 species